GCGGUGGUAGCUCAGCCGGAUAGAGCAACGGUUUUCUAAACCGUCGGUCGCGAGUUCGAGUCUCGCCCACCGCGCCA
rnacentral:tRNA from 2 species